rnacentral:lncRNA from 1 species
AGGUAACACUCUUCCAGCACUCAAUGUGUCCAGCAUUGCUGUUAAUGGUUCACUGGUGGAGCUGGUUACAAAGUCAGUGAUCCCCCCAUCACACCAUCCGUUGUCUCCCGCUGAGGUGGCUGAGGCCAUGGAGGCCAGCCUGCAGAUGCCACAAGGAAACUGGCCGAGCUGGACUGUGGGUGGAGGAGUACCAUGGGAGCUGCAGAGAGCAAUUCUAGUCCUGAUCAUGACUUUACCUGGAACACCCAUCAUCAAAUACGGAGAGGAGGUCAAUCCAGUUCAGGAUCUGGAUCAGCUGAAUCAGCCUCUAGCCCUCUUCCAUUCUCUGAGUCAGUCGCGUGCCCGUGAAGAGGCUCUACACUUUGGCAAAUUCACCUUCCUUUCCUUCAAUCACAGCAUGUCAUCCUCUGGCCUCAAUUCUACAGCCACACCUCCUUUAGCUUUCCUACGCUCAUGGGGCUGCGUUCACUUCCUGGUCAUGUUUAAUUUGGGGUCUGAACCUCACACUCUGGAUCCAGACUGGGCUCCCAGCCUACCUGAAAGUGGGGUGUUUGUAACCAGCACAGGUCUUGACCGAUGUGGCCCCGUGUCUCUAAGGUCAAUAAAAAUGCAGCCACACGAGGC